rnacentral:misc_RNA from 1 species
GUUCCGUAGGUGAACUUGCGGAAGGAUCAUUAUUGAAAUUUCAUCCGGGCCGCCGCGGCCCUCAGCACCGUUGGAAACGCCGUGCUACGGGGGCCGCGCGUGCACUCGUCCAAACCAAACCCCUUUGAACCAUACGGGAUGGCCCGGGUUAGCGCCCGGUGCCGUUCCGCGUUAUACAAACACUUAUCAAAGAAUGAACUGAAGGCGGUCUGACCGCUGGAUAACUAACUGAAAAAACUUUCAACAACGGAUCUCUUGGCUCUC